GCGGGAACACAGAGAAAAAUUAACAAAACUUGCAAAACAACCAACAAGGCCAAGGACUCCCUACGCAAGGCUCGUACAGGGGCAGUACAGGAAGUAAAAAAAUGCAAGGAGGGAGUGUCAGAAGACAUAGUAAAACUGUUGGAAAAGCAGAUACAACAAAUGGGAGAUGACAACUGAACUCGA